GUGAACGAGCGACGCCGCGUGGAGGACGAAGGCCUUCGGGUUGUAAACUCCUGUCGAGGGGGAAGAAGGGCCGCGAGGCCUUGACUGAUCCCUGGAGGAAGCACGGGCUAAGUUCGUGCCAGCAGCCGCGGUAAGACGAACCGUGCGAACGUUAUUCGGAAUCACUGGGCUUAAAGCGCGUGUAGGCGGGGCGGAACGUCGGAUGCUGAAAGCCCCCGGCUCAACCGGGGAAGUGGCACCGAUACGACCGCCCUCGAGGGACGUAGGGGGACCUGGAACUUCCGGUGGAGCGGUGAAAUGCGUUGAGAUCGGAAGGAACGCCCGUGGCGAAAGCGAGGUCCUGGACGUUUUCUGACGCUGAGACGCGAAAGCCAGGGGAGCGAACGGGAUUAGAUACCCCGGUAGUCCUGGCCGUAAACGAU
rnacentral:rRNA from 1 species